GUGGGGAAUAUUGGACAAUGGGCGAAAGCCUGAUCCAGCCAUGCCGCGUGUGUGAAGAAGGUCUUCGGAUUGUAAAGCACUUUAAGUUGGGAGGAAGAGUAGUAACCUAAUACGUUGCUACUUUGACGUUAUCGACAGAAUAAGCACCGGCUAACUUCGUGCCAGCAGCCGCGGUAAUACGAAGGGUGCAAGCGUUAAUCGGAAUUACUGGGCGUAAAGCGCGCGUAGGUGGUUCAGUAAGUUGGAAGUGAAAUCCCCGGGCUCAACCUGGGAACUGCUUUCAAAACUGCUGAGCUAGAGUACGGUAGAGGGUGGUGGAAUUUCCUGUGUAGCGGUGAAAUGCGUAGAUAUAGGAAGGAACACCAGUGGCGAAGGCGACCACCUGGACUGAUACUGACACUGAGGUGCGAAAGCGUGGGGAGCAAACAGGAUUAGAAACCCGAGUAGUCC
rnacentral:rRNA from 1 species